CCUGGCAGUUAGUGAUGACAGGUAACGUGGCAGUGCAUGGGUGUACUAAUACAUUGUAUGGACUGUGUUGGCGAAGACAUCCGGUCUGCCUCUGGGCACGUACUGAAGGGCAGCUGGCACAGUCAUGUCUGGUGGUUGGCCGCUGUGGAUUUGGGAGAGUAUAUCUGCUUGUGAGCAGCUGUUUGCAUAGUGCUUGAACGGUGUGCUUGAGGAGGUCUGUUGAAUCUUGAAAGCUUACAGAUAUGGGGUUUUGAAUCUUUUAUUUUCUAUUCUGUCCCCAGUAGAGUGUAAACCUUUGGAGGAACCUUUCACGGAAAGAGCUCCUUCUGGAACUGUUCAGCGCUCGGUGACUGGUUUGAUCUACUUCUGAGGUGCUGAGGCAAGGGGGCUGCUGUUUUGAAACGAUAAUAUUGUGAAACACAGUGUACAACACGGGACUUAACCGGAGCUGCUUUUUGCAAGGGGUGUUGUAGCUGGCCUAAGAGAGCAGAUGGAAGCGUCUGCCUUGAGGGCAGGUGAGGGGGCCGAGGUGCCGUGGCAGGCUCUCCACAGAAGCGGUUGAGGAUUGGAGAAGAGGUUGCAGAU